rnacentral:rRNA from 1 species
UAACGAAUCUUCGGCAAUGCACGCAAGUGCGACCGAGCAAUGCCGCGUGGUGGAUGAAGCCCCUCGGGGUGUAAACACCUGUCAGGAGCUAGGAAAUCUGACCAGCUCCAGAGGAAGGGCCGGCUAACUCCGUGCCAGCAGCCGCGGUAAUACGGAGGGCCCGAGCGUUAAUCGGAAUCACUGGGCUUAAAGGGUGCGUAGGCGGAGACGCAAGUACUUUGUGAAAGCCCCCGGCUCAACCGGGGAAUUGCUUGGUAAACUGCGUCUCUUGAGCCCGGUAGAGGCCAUCGGAACUCUAGGUGGAGCGGUGAAAUGCGUAGAUAUCUAGAGGAACGCCAACGGCGAAGGCAGAUGGCUGGGCCGGCGCUGACGCUGAGGCACGAAAGCAUGGGUAGCGAAGAGGAUUAGAUACCCCCGUAGUCC